rnacentral:snoRNA from 1 species
GACUUCUCAUUGAGCUUCUUUCUGUCUCUGGGUAGCAGUUCAUGGAUUUGCACAAGAAGAAUUCACAGAACUAGCAUUAUUUUACCUUUUUGCUUUACAGAGGUACAUCUGGCUAUUUUGUAAGACAUUC